CUAAGAAUAUUCCGCAAUGGACGGAAGUCUGACGGAGCGACGCCGCGUGGAUGAAGAAGGCCGAAAGGUUGUAAAGUUCUUUUGCUGGGGAAGAAUAACCGCAGGAGGGAAUGCCUGUGGGAUGACAAGAACCGGCGAAUAAGCCCCGGCCAACUACGUGCCAGCAGCCGCGGUAACACGUAGGGGGGCGAGCGUUGUUCGGAAUUACUGGGCGUAAAGGGCAUGUAGGCGGCUUGGAAAGCCUGGCGUGAAAGUCUGCAGCUUAACUGCAGGGGUGCGCUGGGAACUGCUGAGCUUGAGUGACGGAGAGGGAGCUGGAAUUCCUGGUGUAGGGGUGAAAUCUGUAGAUAUCAGGAAGAACACCGAUGGCGAAGGCAAGCUCCUGGCCGAUGACUGACGCUGAGGUGCGAAAGUGUGGGGAUCAAACAGGAUUAGAUACCCUGGUAGUCCACACAGUCAACGAUGUGCACUAGGUGCUGGGGCGGUAGCUUCGGUGCCGGAGCGAACGUGGUAAGUGCACCGCCUGGGGAGUAUGCUCGCAAGGGUGAAACUCAAUGAAUUGAC
rnacentral:rRNA from 1 species